UACGUAGGGUGCGAGCGUUAAUCGGAAUUACUGGGCGUAAAGCGUGCGCAGGCGGUUCGUUAAGUCAGAUGUGAAAGCCCCGGGCUCAACCUGGGAACUGCGUUUGAAACUGGCGGGCUUGAGUGUGGCAGAGGGGGGUGGAAUUCCGCGUGUAGCAGUGAAAUGCGUAGAGAUGCGGAGGAACACCGAUGGCGAAGGCAGCCCCCUGGGCCAACACUGACGCUGAGGCACGAAAGCGUGGGGAGCAAACAGG
rnacentral:rRNA from 1 species